UCCUGCUGUUGAAUUUCAGCGCUGCCCGCAGGAUGUCCUCCUCCGUCUUGGAGCGUUCCCGCACCGGGAUCAUCCUGUUCAUGCCUGGCGUUUAACACACGCGCGUGAGAAACACGUCCUGCUUGUUUUCCCCACCAUCACCAUUGAACACAGAAGAUGGGAAUGAAGAGACUUAAAAGAAACAAAUACUUAAAUAUUUAAUGAAUAAAUAUAAUUAAGAAUAUUAAUGAAGGAACAGGCAGACUCUAUAAACCAUUUAAAUAGUGUGCUUCUAUUGAGUUUUUAAAACAGGCUCUGAACAAUAAAAAUAUGUUUAUGUUAGCUGAAAUUUUACAUAUAAACACCUUCUUAAAAUA